rnacentral:rRNA from 1 species
CAGCACAGCUAUACCACCCUGAAUGUUCCCGAUCUCAUCAUAGAAGUUAAGCAGGGUUGGGCCUGACUAGUAACUGGAUGGGUGACCAUUACUAUCCUGAGGUAUGUCUUUU